UAGCUCAGUCGGUAAAAGAAUCUGCCUGCAAUGCAGGAUACCCAGGUUCAAUUCCUGG
rnacentral:tRNA from 1 species